ensembl:lincRNA
CACAACAUCAAGUAGCUAAAUCAAGUCAAAACUGUUUGUAGUAUGAUCUUUUUAAUUAAAUGUUUUGAAAUUUAGGACAGAUAGCAAACUAUCAGUAGUAGAAUAGCAGGUCAUUUUUUCUUGUUAUUUCCUGUCUUGUGUCUUGGUUUUGCUGCUGGGGCUGAAACCUGGGCCUCUCCAGCUAAGCAUGGGGAGUGGUUGUUCUCCACCAAGGAGCUGCACCCCGAUGUCUUCUUCCACAUGCUUAUCUCUGCCAUCUUAACGUUUAUCAGAAAGAAGUGUAUUGCUUUCUUAAAAUUAAAAAUAAUAAUAAUAAAGUACUGUGAAAAAAAAACUGGUUCCGUUGCACAUCCCAACAAGACUUGAGCUUUGAAGACAUCCUAUUUAUGCAUUCACUCGUUUCACGGUAAUACUUAAGGCCAGCUGACCCGGUCCUAAGGUACUGCAGGAACAAGAGCCCCACCUCUUGCCCCGAGAACCCAAGAAUUCUGCUCCCAAACAGCAGAGCUUUUGAAUCCCUGCCUUUGGGGUGGGGCCUGAGGGCUCUGGAAGCAGCGCAGGAAGCCGAUUGCGGCCCCGUGGGGUCAGGGUGGGGCUGAGGUAGCCUGGGCUUGAGAAGGGCCUGCGGCUCCCUCGCAUCCACGCUGGCGCCCGCGCAGCCUGCGCCACUGGCCACCGAGCCGCUGCUGCGCCCGCCCCUGCCCCGGGUCCCUCUCCCGGAGGAGACCUGCUGCUUCACCCAAUCUGUUGCUGCGCCUUGCUAGAGGUCUGUGCCCGAGUCAGCGCCACGUCCUGGGGAAAGAAGAACCGCGCCGGGCUGGAAGUUCUUCUGGGGGGAGGGAGAUCCCUGGAGUCGGCGGCAGAUGGGGGAGGCCCCACUGGGGCGCACGUGGGCGCCUUUCUGGGAGGAAACCAUGUACCAUCCGCUCUCGCUCGCUGCCAUCCAGUGUUUUCUUCCCCCACUCGCAGGACCCCAGCCAUACAUGUUCUGCUCCCAUUCCUUCUGACCCUCCAGCAAGUUGGCACCCUUUGGAGACCUCGUGUUCAGCGCUGACAAGGAGCAGAGCACCAGAAAAAGAGAACCAAUUUCUCCUCUCCUGCCAUGUUCCAGUGACACAGGUCCAGGAAGGCCCAGCCAGAUGGCCUGCAACAGAACUCCAAGGACACGAACGCCAGUGCCCACCAUGCCACCUGCUACUCAUGCCGCUGUGAGCAAGCCACUCGCCAUCUCUGCACGGGCUUCAGUUUCUUCAUUUAUAAAACAGAAACGAUAGUUCUGCCCCAAAAUUGUUUCCAGACUUAACUGGUAGGAAAUAUUCUUAAACCAUUUUGAAAUGCACAAAAUCAUCUAGUGGAGCCAGAAUGCAGAACCCAGAAAAGAGGGGAGUAGAUGGCAUUUAUUCAGAAGCCCAAUACAGUUCUUCCAGCUUCUCACUAGCCGACUUCACCUUCAUAACCCUGGUCUUCAUAGCGAGACUGUUGAUCUCCCAGAGGAAUCUCACAUUAACAUUCAUGGUCCACCUGGAACAGCCCAGGACACUUACAUGAGCAGGGAAUUACAUAUUUGGGGCCUGGAUUACAGACAAUUUUCUCAAAAGUUAGCUCUAAUUUGAUAGCCCUCCUCCUUCUGUAGCUCUGAUUUCUUCUCUAUUGAAAUGAAGAGAUUGGACUGCAUGCUCCUUACUGCCCUUUCCAUCUCAGGCAUGUAGAAUCCUCUAGAAGCUAUGCCCUUUACACAAAGUGCUCCUCCACCUUUACCCCACUUCUGUUCAUCAACUGGCUUCCCCCACCCUCCACCUUUGCAGCCCAGGUAGGAGGAUAGGAAGGGCAGAGUAGGAAAGAAGACUGCCAACAAACCUAGGGUCCCUCGGAGUCCCUGGUACCCUGAGACAACAAUAAACCACACUGGCAGCCUUUUUCUGAGGACUGUAUGAAGGCUGUUUAUCUAAAUGCCAAUCCCUCAUGGGAAAAGGAUGUGUGUUCACCAGUGCAAUUGGCUCUCCCACUACAGCUGAUCAUCUGUUUAUAUUGAGCAUCAUUCUACACUCAGUAGUCCACCCUGUAGAACAUUUUAGGAGCUACAUACUGAUUUCACAGUAAGUUAAAUAAACACAGUUAGGAAGGAAAAUGUGUUGGAAGGGUGUUGAGUGAGUACACACCAAAGCUAAAUAGACCACAGUUGUUCAGCAAGUCAGUUUACAAAGUUAAUGACCAACACAUUCUGCCUAAGCUAAGCCCUCCCACCUCACCCCCAUGUACUUUGGCACAUGGGGCAAGAGGAACAGAGGCAGCUGUAACUGUCACUCUGUGGGAGGUUUGCAGCACCCUUAUUGCAAAAGACAGAUGUGCUUUUCAGAAACGGGGACUUGUUUUGCAGAGUGGUAGAAUGUUUCCACAGCAAAAUCUAUCUCAUCACCAACAUGCUGUGGUUUAUCGAGAGAUGGCUUUCACUAGAAAAAAGGUUUUUAAUGGCUCUUCACAGGAAGAGCACGAACGAUGGUAGAGAAAACUGGAAGAGCUUUAAUUCCAUUCAUUCUUCAUUCAUUCAUUCAUUUAUUCAAAAGUACUAGAUAAGUAUAUGGUUGGGGGCAUUUAUUUGACAGCCAACCACACUUAUGUGAAUCCCUGUGUAAUUUCAAAUUGCUUUUUUGGAAUUUCAGUAGUAAGUGAUGACAGUUAACUUCUUGUCACCCAUUUCUAAAUAGCUAUUUGUGAAUUUACUUUGGUACAGGCAUUAUGACAAUAGGACCAUCAGACAUUUUUGGUCAUCCGUGCUGCUACUGUCUACCAGCAGAAGUGAUAUUUAUAGAUGAUUCUGUGCAGGUGCCAGAGGAAAUAUGUCCUCUACAUAAACACAAAGUGUUGGGUCUAAUGCUCUAGUCCAGUGAUAGUCAAGAGGUCAUCUCAUGAAGCAACUCAACUGAGUGGGGUACCGCACUGAGACAUUUUCCAAAGCCAGUGUGGGUCAGAGGGAAAGAGUGUCCUGAGGUGCAGGAAAAGGAAGGGUGUUUAGCAUCCUGGCUUUUCUAUUUUGUAAGCUACAUUCUAGCAUCCUUCAGGCCUUUUGAUCAUAAGGGCUCUUCAGUUUAUUUAUUGACUCCUGGAAAUGCAUUUAUACUAAGAUUUAGGUUCUUUUUCCCAGGGAUAGAUCUUAGCCACAUGGCCACAGCUGGAGUCCAGACUGUCCACAGCUUUCCUCACUGUUCAAUGGAGUCAGGCAAGGGAGCAAGCUCCUCUCUGCCUGGCAAGAGCUAGCAUCCAGCAUGGGCAAACUAGGCAAGGCAAGCUUGAGGGUAGUUAAGGUGAUGAAGCUCAGGAUGGACAAGCCCUGUAGACUCCUUGUCCUUGGGACUUGGAAAGCCUCCCUGUACAUCAGGCUGGGAGCUAAGCACAGAAAUCAUAGCUCCUUGUGAGUUAACUCCAGGGAUAGCUGCACUCCUCACCUUCUGUCUGAGUAAUUAACUAGCAGUUGUUCCUGCUUUGUGGAACAUGGACCCAGCAGCCUCUGGGAAAACCUGUGGGGACGUUCUUAGUCUGAUUGGCAGACAAUUGGCAGGAGCCGAAGCUUCUGCAAUGCUUAACUGAGAGGACAGAGGGCAACUGAUUUUUCUCUUCUCCAGGUGAAAUCACACCAUCCAUCUCUCCCCUUUCCUUUGGAGCCAUCUCAGCGUAAUAGUGGCUAUUUCUAUUGGAUACUGACCCUAUGAAUCCCCUGAGGUGUCCAGCUCAGCCCUGAUGUCCAUUGCUAUAUGGGACUUGGGAUUGAAUUCCUAAAUCCUUAGAAUUUGAGUACUAGUCUGUCUAAAAGGAAAUAAAUUUUCAAUAUCCUAAGGAAAAUUUCACCACCAUGCAGAAGUGGACAAUUACUCUUGGAAUACCCAAAGAUACCCAGCUGGCCAGAGCAGGGCUAGAAAUCUUGGCUGAUCAUGUCCAAGCUCUACUCUCAUAUUAUCCUCUCCAAACCCCUAUAAGACAUGUAAUUCGUAGCAAGCUAGAGCCAUGUAAUCUUCCCAGAGAAGUCACUUCCAUGUAUUAACUCCAUAUUCUAAGCCUUCAGCAUGAGUCUCUUAUUUAAAUUCCAGAACUUUCUUUUAGAUAUUUAAAGAUUCUUCAGAUGCAACCUGACAGCAUUCUGUCUCUUUCCUCCUUCUUAACCUUAUCCAGUCAGCUGCACUCCUGCCUAUAUCCUUUAAAUUCUGGGUACGGAUCUAUUCUGUGAGGCAAAUGUGGAUCUAUUCUGCUUCUCUGGGAAGAAAAUGAAUCAUAUUUUGCAGCCAGGGGGUCACAGGGAAAAUGCUAGAAGGACUCCAGCUCUUUUUUUUUUAACGUGUAAAUCCAAUUUAUUUCCUUUAAGAGUAUGACUUCUUUUUCUUUCUUUUAUUUUAGAGUAAGAAUUUAUUGGGAGAAAGAAAGCUAAGAGGGAUAGAAGGAUGUCUUGAAAGUUGGUUGCCCAAGAAGUACAGCUCUGGAAGAGGAAUAUGAAGCCGCUGAGUGACUGGCUUCCCCUUGUGGACUCUGAAAGAGUGGACAGGGGAGCUUAGGGGUCUGAUAUCCCUCUGUCUUCAUCCAGCCUCAGUUGUCCACACUCAGGAACUAAAAUCCCUUCUUCCUGAGGUGGUUUGAUCCAUUUUCAAGGGAGAAAAGGGUGUUAGAACCUUAUCUUUUCCACAGCGCAGUGCCACCUGCCUCUUUCUAGGUAAUUACAUCUUCCAUGUGAUUGACUUUCCAAUGUGUCAACAUGACCCCUAGAUCCUCCAGAGCAAAUAGCUUCUCUUCUCUAGCCAAGCAUCUCAGGUCCCAUUGUUCUGGGGACCUAAUCCCCAGACCACUCCAGAAACACAUCCUGCUAAUUCCCUUGGAAGGCAAACCUUCUGUGCAGUGCCGAGAGUGGCCCUGGAUAGAAGUAGAGUGAGUUGUCACCUCAGUGUCCCACCAAAAUGUCUAUCUAGCAGCCAAAGACAAUGUUAACUGUGUGUGCUUCCAAGUCCUGGGACUUGUUCCCAGUGCUCCAAGAAAAUGGGCCCAAUUUCUAUCAGCAGUGUCUCCUCCCUCACCCAGUCUGGACACCUUCCUUGUCGUCUCACAACCCAUCGUACACAUGGCAUAGUGUCCUUCUCAAAUCCCUGGUCUCCUGUGAGGCUUACUCUGUGUGCUUCUCCUCACUGGGAUUAGGAAUGGAUUGUUUCUGUUAAACAUUUUCUAUAAAAUAAAGGAAUUGAACAGGGUAAUCAGAUAUCCUGCUACUACACUAUCUUCUGAGUUAAUUCAUAGUUUUCCUUCCUCCUCAAGGGUAUGAUCAGGCCUGACCUGGUGCUGGUGCUUAAUAAACAUUUGCUCAUAAAAUUGAAUGGAGGAAUGCUGAGGAGUGGGAAGGACCAGGAAAAGUAGCUGUUGACAGAGAAGAUGUGGAUGAUUGAGAAAAAGGCAUUGGAAGACACCCUUCCCCAGAAGGGUGAUUGGAAUCAAAAGGGCAAGGGGGAAGUAACAGACAACACUUACAAAGAGAAGAAAGAUACUAUCAUGGUUGUGCAUCUUGUUUGGAAUUCCGACCAGGAGUGGGGAUAAAAAAGGGCAAAGAUUGAAGAGUAAAGGACUGUGAUCAUCCUAAGUCAGGAGUUUCAAACAUAAGGUUUGCAAGUCAACUGCAUUAACCCCUUGAGCCUCAAUUUCCUCAUCAGCAGAAAGAAAGACAUGGACCAGAGCUUUAGAGUUUGUUAGUAACACAGAGCCCCCAGCUCUAUCCUGGAACUGAAUGUGCCUUUAAACAGAUUCCCAUGUAAUGCUGUGCAAGCUCAAGUGUGGGACAGCCUCUCUGAGUUUCCAAAGCAGACACAUGAGAACAGGAGCUCAGACUGCUGCACCAUGAAACGACCUGGGGAAAUUUAAAAUCCCAUGUCCUCAGAAGCACUUCCUGAAGCACUGGAUAUCCCAUCUCUUCACUGGGGUAGCGAUCAUAUGUGUGUAUAAAAUUGUCAGAACUCAUGAACUGAGCCCUUCCAAGGGGUGCACUGCAGUAUAUGCAAAUUAUAUCA